AAGACUCCUUUCAGGAAUCAUUUCUUUAGUUCCUACUAGAGAAGCUUCUCUUAACAUGUGGAGCACCGGAAACCACAAAGAGGCGGUGCAGCAUUCUGUCCUAAGUGUGAAGUGGAUUCUUGGUGUUGCUGUGCUGCAACUGCCAUUUGCUAAUGAUGACCUUGCUUUUCUUACUUAGAGUAAGACAGAGAGACAGCAGUCAGCCUGAGCAGU
ensembl:snoRNA U3 Small nucleolar RNA U3